UACAGAGGGUGCAAGCGUUAAUCGGAAUUACUGGGCGUAAAGCGCGCGUAGGCGGCUUUGUAAGUUAGAGGUGAAAGCCCGGGGCUCAACCCCCGGAACUGCCUUUAAAAACUGCAUCGCUUGAAUCCGGGAGAGGUGAGUGGAAUUCCGAGUGUAGAGGUGAAAUUCGUAGAUAUUCGGAAGAACACCAGUGGCGAAGGCGGCUCACUGGACCGGCAUUGACGCUGAGGUGCGAAAGCGUGGGGAGCAAACAGG
rnacentral:rRNA from 1 species